UAGUUUAUCACCUAAACUUUUAUAACAACAAACACUUCCAUACUUAACCAUUUUAGCAACCAUUCAUCAUCAAAUACUUACACAUCAUUCUUUAGCAAGAUCAUAAAUACAAACAUUUAGAAUAACUAAAUCCCUAUACAUGCCAUACUCAACACGGUUCAACAUAAAAAUACCGAGUUGCUGUGGUUGAUAGUGUGGACGAUCUCCGACUUCUUUAGGAUCCUUGAAGUAGCCUUGUAAUACUAUAAGAGAAAGAGAAAUAAAAGAUGUAAGCAUAAAGCUUAGUAAGUUUACUAGCAAAUAAAUAACAAUAUUUAACUCAAAUAGUUAAACUCAAAUGUCUAUAUCUCUAGUGUACUCUUUAGUUAAUCUCAUACUAGUUCUCUUGCUUGUUUACUUAACAUACUUGUGUGCAUAACUUACUCUUCUCUUGUUGCAUCGUUGAAUAUAAAUUGUUAAUAUAAUAAAUUCUUAACUCUUAUAACUCACCUGAGCUUGCCAUUUCUUAUCUUUAACUGAACUUUCAUGUACCUCAUUCGUUUACUAGCCCAUUGAACCACAUUGGAAUAAUAAGGAUACUCGGGUCUCUUCUGAUAAUAACAUGCCAAACCAUGUCCCAGACAUGAUCUUACAUGGGAUGUUCUCAUGUUGGUGCCCAUGCCAUGUCCCAGACAUGGUCUUAUAGGGGACCUCUCAUCUCGGUGCCAACGCCAUGUCCCAGACAUGGUCUUACAUGGGACCUCUCGUCUCGGUGCCCAUGCCAUGUCCCAGACAUGGUCUUACAGGGGACCUCUCAUGAUCUUAAGGAUGCCAACGCCAUGUCCCAGACAUGGUCUUACAUGGGAUCUCUUUACCCAAAUGUCAUGACAUUCGUAUCCAGUACCAUCCUUAUGUAUCAACGGGGCUUUUUAACUUCAAUUCUCUAUCAUUUCAUGCUUGGAUCAUCAUCAAAUAAAUUCAUAAAAUAAAUUCAUAAUUUCUGGAAAAUAACAGCAUUAAUAAUAAAUAUUGAAAUAUUGCAUUUAUUUACCGUAAACUUACCUCGGUACCAAUUAUAGCCAAAUUCACCAACU
rnacentral:lncRNA from 1 species